rnacentral:rRNA from 1 species
AGCAGCCGCGGUAAUUCCAGCUCCAAUAGCGUAUAUUAAAGUUGUUGCAGUUAAAAAGCUCGUAGUUGAAUUUCGGGAUCAAUAUGUUGGUCGUGCCUCGGUACGUACUAGCUUAUUGGUUUCUCCUUUCUGAAGAACCAUGAUGUCAUUUAUUUGGUGUCGUGGGGAAUCAGGACUGUUACUUUGAAAAAAUUAGAGUGUUUAAAGCAGGCUCACGCUUGAAUACAUUAGCAUGGAAUAAUGAAAUAGGACGUUUGAUUCUAUUUUGUUGGUUUCUAGGAUCGACGUAAUGAUUAAUAGGGAUAGUUGGGGGCAUUAGUAUUCAAUUGUCAGAGGUGAAAUUCUUGGAUUUAUUGAAGACUAACUACUGCGAAAGCAUUUGCCAAGGAUGUUUUCAUUAAUCAAGAACGAAAGUUAGGGGAUCGAAGACGAUCAGAUACCGUCGUAGUCUUAACCAUAAACUAUGCCGACUAGGGAUCGGAUGAUGUUAAUUUUUAAUGACUCAUUCGGC